UACAUAGGUCUCAAGCGUUGUUCGGAUUCAUUGGGCGUAAAGGGCGCGUAGGCGGGCUGGCAAGUCCGUCGUGAAAUCUCUCGGCUCAACCGAGAAACGUCGGCUGAUACUGCCGUUCUUGAGGGAUGCAGAGGAGACUGGAAUUCCCGGUGUAGCGGUGAAAUGUGUAGAGAUCGGGAGGAACACCGGUGGCGAAGGCGGGUCUCUGGGCAUCUCCUGACGCUGAGGCGCGAAAGCGUGGGGAGCAAACGGG
rnacentral:rRNA from 1 species